CGCAAAAUAUUGAUGAAAGCAUGUGGACGUUUGAUUCACGUGACAUCUUUCUUAUCAAAUCACCAAAGGUUUAGCUAGUACAUGCUCUUAACGUGAUAGUGGGUCUCUCUACCAUCCUUUUUGGGGAUGGUAAUAAAAUUUAAUUUUAUAAAUAUUCGAUCCGACUCAACUUACUACGAUCAAUUUAUCAUUAGAUUUG
rnacentral:lncRNA from 1 species